UACGGAGGGGGCUAGCGUUGUUCGGAAUUACUGGGCGUAAAGCGCGCGUAGGCGGACCUGCAAGUCGGGGGUGAAAGCCCGAGGCUCAACCUCGGAACUGCCUUCGAUACUGCGGGUCUCGAGUCCGGGAGAGGUGAGUGGAAUUCCUAGUGUAGAGGUGAAAUUCGUAGAUAUUAGGAAGAACACCAGUGGCGAAGGCGGCUCACUGGCCCGGUACUGACGCUGAGG
rnacentral:rRNA from 1 species